AAAUUCUCUUGUCCAGUCAGGGUCCUUCCUGCUUCCCAGUGCUAUACUGGGAAGGUAGUGGGUUCCCUGUCCAUGUUGCAGAGGGUUGCUGUGCAGCCAGCUGGUCCCACUUCCCCAUUCCAGACCACUUAGCAGAGACCUGGGGACCAUGUCUCACCCUCCCAGAAGCCCCUACCAGUCUCUAUAGGCCUCCCACACAGCCUCUGCCAUGCUAUUCCUCUUUCCUUUCCAAAGACCAAAGAGGCCUCUGGCCUCUUCUGCCUCACCUUUCCCACCUGUUACUUUGCCCCUUGCACUUGCAACUUUCCCUGAGUGCCUGUUCUCUCCCAGUGGACCCAGGUACACCCUCUCUCCUCAUGGACUUGUCCCCUUCUCCACCGAAGGAGGUCACACUGAUAACUGGGCUAGCACAUGUGAAAUCCUGCAACGUUUUCCCCUGUGGACCGUGAUGGAUGGGUUGUACGUGGACAUCAAAAUCUCAUGGAUCUGAUAUGCACCGGGCUGGGCUCAGAGGGAAAAGGGAAGCUGGAGAAGUCGGGUGGGGGCUUCAUUAGAGGAGGGACUAGAGGAUGCUAUGAGGCCAAGGGUGAGCUAUGUGUGGGGUUCUUUGCCGUCAUCCCUGCCGUGACGGCUCCAAGCCCCCAGUACGCUGUCCUAGUGCCUUCUUUCACCAGUGUCUGCUGGAAUAUUCAUGGCUACAGUGGAACAAGACUCGGAAUGAGAAGGGCUCCGGAGAGAGGGCCACAGCUGUUCAGAGAGGGCUCCGGGCCACUUCCCAGGGGCUCUCGCCAAUCCUAUGCUUUACGCGGUUGAUUACAAAGUGGCUGCCAUGGCUUUGAGUACCAUAGCCACUCACAAUGGGAAGAGAAGCUCCUUGAGGCUUGAGGAAUGCUGAUAUGCCCCAUGCCUUGGCUAAACGGGAGUCCUGAGCUCCUUCCUCUCCAGGCAUCGCUAAAGGACAGGAUUUCCAGUGGCGCCUGAGACAGCCUUAAACACGCUCCUGCCAUUUUGUUCUACACAUCUCUAUGAGGCAGCGCCCUACGUGCUGAUGGUCAUCAAAUAAAAAUAUCGACCGACCCCUAGAAACACUGGAGCAGCCCUGAAUCCUGCAUAACCAACCAUUCAGCCACGGUUUCAUGCAUUCUGUAGCCGCAGAUGAGCACUUUUGUCUCUGUGCAAAUUUGCCUUUUGUCUCUAACAAUUGGUUAAUCAGAUAAACAGCAAAGAAUUAC
rnacentral:lncRNA from 1 species